GUGAUACCAUUAAGCCCCUCCUGCAUUUCCGGAUCGUCUGCACCAACACUCUCCAGACGACAGGCCCCGGGUUCAUGUGCAACUUCCACAAAACAAGUGCUCAAAAAAUGCUAGUUAAAUUCAACUUGAACUGGAUCAUUCUGUCUGCAGAGAGUGCUUGCUGUGGCAGAGUUAAUUUCAUGCUUCCAGGAGCAUCUAUGGUCUCCGCUGUGCCCGCUGCCGACCACCUCUGGGACCGUGGACGCCCCAUGUCAGAGCCUCGUGUGCUGACUCGAUCUGGCCUCAUCUCCAGAACCGGGAGACUGGGGAGGGUGAUGCGUCUGACCGCUGAGUUCCCGGCCCCUCCCACUGUGUCCGGUAUACACCUGCUUCCUCGGAGAUUUCCUGCAACAGGACCCUGACGAAGACCAGAUACCCGUUUGGAAAACCUGGAGUCCAGGGGAGCACCCUGCAUGGACAUGAUCCCGACUCGCUCCGGCUGGUGCUGUCAGACCCGACGUGGGAAGCGGCGCUCAUCCAGGUGGGGCUGCCGGGCCAGGUGAGAGAAUGCUGUCCCAGGCUCACAGGCCCAGACAGGUGCAACUCUGCGGGUUGGCGCCAGUCCCCAGAAGCAGGCCACAGAGCCAGCGCGAAGAAAGAUGCACCGGAAGGCACGCCCCCUCAACGCUUCAUCCCAGGCCAGCUCUCUAUCGCUUCAUCUUCACCAGAUUCUGGGAGGGUCUCAUUCCUGCCAUCUUUGUUUGUGUUCCGACAGAAGCAUUUCAUGUGGGAGAAUCACAUUUUCUACUGCCCUCCAUUGAACUUGUAUUUGUUGAACACCCAGCUUCUCAGGGCCUUUCAAACAGUCGCGGUGCGCCCAGCGGCCUCUAGAAAGGGUGGGAGGGGCUGCUAUGGGGCAUCCUGUGUGAACGCUCCCAUUACUGACUUCCGAAAUUACUCCAGGACCCAGUUACAUUCUAUUACAAUCAUUACCCACCCCUAAAAAGACGGCCCGAAACCAAACUCAGAGUUCGAAAAUAUUUCAAUACGCAUUGUUUGUGGACCAUUUUUAUAUUCUUUAAGCUAAAGAAACAGUAACUUUAAAUAUAGUGCAAGAUUUGUGUUGAUGUAGGUGUCAGUUUGGACAUCUUUAUAUUCAGAUGUCCUCGUUCCAAAACCUGUCUUGGUGUUUCCCAUGAGCACUGCCUUUGGGCCACGUUUGUGUUUGCAGACAUGACCAAAAAAAUGCGCUGAAACUGUCCGAUCACCCGGAACAAUGAGAUCCUGUGGCUGCCCCUGACGUGGUCUAGCUGCGUGCACGCUCCUGCUCGGACACAGAGCAUGAGUCUCAUGUUGAUGCCUUCAUGGUCAUUACCGUUUGGCAAGUCAAUGCUCUUAGACCCAGUCUGCAAACAGAAGCAGCGUACAAAUAUGCAUACCUACAAAAUAAAGAGCUAUGUUCCUUAAAAUGACACCAAGUGUUCUUCAGAUUCUGGCCUGAAAUUGCUUUUAGGGCCACGUCUCCAAGCCCUGCCUGUGUAUAUCCCAGCCUGAAUCUCAUCAGAAUGGCCACCGUGUUCCAAACGUCCACAAGCAGCCUUCGCCUCCAUCUGCACUGAGCUCCUUCCCGAGAGGUUCUGUCCCCACCGCCAUCCACCCAUGGAAAUCCCACCACCCUUUCAAAUAAACCUU